rnacentral:lncRNA from 1 species
GACAGAGUUUACUUUAUUGUCUGAAGAGGAAAAUCCUGUCUGGAAACCAUUUCUUUCUAGCACUGCCUGGCACUGUACAUUCUUCCCUUCAAAACACAUCUUGAGAAAAAUUUGACAAAGAGUUUUUCUUACGCGAGUUACAUGGAUGUUGCUCUGCUGCAAGAAAAAUACUUAUUUGGAGACAGAAUGCAUCCACUGUCUGUUGUGACUCAGUAAAGAGAGAAAAUAGAGAGUAUUACAAUGAUCCCAUCCCUCUCCCUCAACCUUCAGCUGGCCUUUGUGUCUUUUUGGAUUUGGAGCUACAGCUUCAUACUGCGUGGAGGUUCAGCAGACUAUAACCUUGAAACAAAGCUCAUGAUGCUGAGGAAAAAAGAUGGCAUCUUCUAUGGCAGUUACUAAGACAGUGGUUUUACAUACAAGAACACAGUAAGGACUUUUAACUAGGUAAGUACACCCUUGACUAUGAUGGAGAGAAAGGUGCAUCAAUCAGAACCUAAUAAUCAACUUCUAACAUGAUACAUAGAAAAAGAAGAUGCAAUACCACUGGAGUUAUAUAUGAAUACUCCACAUUGCAAUUUACUUCAGGGGAAGUAUCAUUGGCAGGCACUGAGUGAGGCAUCUUCCCUACUCAACUAUGGCAAGCAAUGCCAGGGUUAAUCAUCUCUACUCAUUUUGGCUGAGAUGUAGUUCAUUUUCUUCACAGUAGCACAUAUGCUGCUGUGUUUUGGAUUUGUGACCAAAAAAAUAUUGAAAAAACACCAAUGUUUUAGCUAUUGCUGAAAGUUGCAAGGCUUUUUAUCAUGCUGCCCUAGGUUGUGGUGCACAAGUUGGGAGGGGAUGCAUUAAGGACACAUGAUCCCAACCAGCCAAAGGGGUAUCCCCAUACCAUAUGAUGUUGUCAGCAGUAAAAGCUGAAGGAAGAAAGUGGGAAGAGGACAUUCAUGGUUACGGUAUUUACAUUCCCAAGUAACCAUAACACAAAAAAGCAGCCCUGCUUUCCUGGAAAUUCCCCUCACUUGCCAAUGGAAAGUGGUGAAUGAACUCCUUAUUUUGCUUGCACUCACAGUUUUUGUCUCACCUGUUAAAUUGUCUUCACCUAAACUCAUGACUUUUCUCACUUUCACCUUUCCCAUUCUCUCCCUCAUCCUGAUGGGAGGGUGUGAAUGAGCUGUUGUGCAGGGCUUGGCUACCCUAUACGACUAAGCUACACUAUCAACCAAGACUGAAGUUGAUAAGAUGCCAAAGAAUGGUUUUAACUCAGUUAAUGAUAUUAUCCAUGCCAGAUCAUUAUGAACAGCAAGACACAUAUGAAGAGAGGGGAAUGUAAAACACCAAAGGUACACUGAUUGCAGCGGUCGAGAAGGAGGGAGCAACAGCAAAGUCACAGUGAUGGUAGCCU